GAAAAGAUCUUGCGAAAAGAGUCAAUAGACUUUCCGUCUACAAAGAAGGCCAUAAACACACACAGGCUGCAAAUUGCCACCACUCUCCUCCUAGAGACAGGGAAGAAGAGCAUGAAACUGACAAUAAAUGGAUUCAGUGUGAGAUGUGUUUGCGGUGGUUCCACCAGCUCUGCGUGAAAAGCCCACCACCAGAAGACGUGUUUAUUUGUUUCGCUUGUACAUAGUUGACACUAGUGAUGUGCAAUACCACUGAUUUUCUU